AUUGAACGCUGGCGGCGUGCUUAACACAUGCAAGUCGAGCGGAGCGGCGAACGGGUGAGUAACGCGUGAGUAACUGCCCCCCUCUCUGGGAUAACAGUUGGAAACGGCUGCUAAUACCGGAUAGGUGGGGAUGACUCGCGGCCUAUCAGCUUGUUGGUGGGGUAGUGGCCUCCGAGGGCGACGACGGGUAGCCGGCCUGGGAGGGCGACCGUCCACAUGGGGCUGAGGUACGGCGCAAACGCCUACGGGGGGCAGCGGUGGAGAAUAUUGCGCAAUGGGGGAAACCCUGAUGCGGAAACGCCGCGUGCGUGAUGACGGCCUUCGGGUUGUAAACCGCUUUCAGCCAUGACGCGGUAGUGGCAGAAGAAGCACCGGCUAACUACGUGCCAGCAGCCGCGGUAAUAC
rnacentral:rRNA from 1 species